rnacentral:rRNA from 1 species
GACGAAGGGGGCUAGCGUUGUUCGGAAUUACUGGGCGUAAAGCGCGUGUAGGCGGUUGUUCAAGUCAGGUGUGAAAGCCUUGAGCUCAACUCAAGAAAUGCACUUGAUACUGGAUGACUAGAGGACCGGAGAGGAUAGUGGAAUUCCCAGUGUAGUGGUGAAAUACGUAGAGAUUGGGAAGAACACCAGUGGCGAAGGCGGCUAUCUGGACGGUUUCUGACGCUGAGGCACGAAAGUGUGGGGAUCAAACAGG